AGUGGUUCGAGGUUGCCAUCUUGGAUAGUUAUUUCUCCCAGUUUGGUGCAACCUCAAACAAAAAAGCAUUGGCAAUUUUAGUAUUUUUGGUGGGAAACUAAUGAAAGUGAAAAAUUUUUGUAAUGGGUGUAGUUUACAAUGCCAAGUUAGUUACAAUAAUGCAGGUAUUGGAUAUUGGUGGACUCGGAAUCCAUUUCAUUCAUGCUAAGCCCAGUAAAGAAUUGAUGAAAAACAAAAAAGUUUUACCGUUGCUGCUUCUUCAUGGAUGGCCAGGCUCAUUCAUAGAGUUCACAAAAAUUAUUCCCUUGCUCACUAGGGAAACUGAAGGAUAUGAUUUUGUGUUUGAACUUGUAGUUCCCUCUUUGCCUGGCUAUAGGUUCUCUGACCCAGCUCGAAAACCUGGUUUAGGUCCUGCUGAAAUGGGACUUAUUUUCGACCGGUUAAUGAAAAGGCUCGGGUACGACAAAUAUUACGUCCAAGGUGGAGACUGGGGUUCCCUCAUCGGUUCAAAUAUGGCUACUCUCUUCCCUGAUAGGUGCUCUCUAAUACAGCUUUUAUCAGUAUUUUAUUCAUAAUUUAUGUUUUCAAAAUUCUAGAGUAAAGUAUUUAAUUUAUUAUUAUAUUUUCUCUACAUUAAUUAUAUAAAGAAAACAUGUUUAUCGUAAAUACAAUUUCCUUUAGUAAUUUCUCACCAUAAUUACUACGCUAAAGCAGCUCAGCCAAUCAGGUAUGGCACGCCUUCGUGCCAAAUGCCAAUACAUUAACAUCUUAUCCAAAUAAUGCACUUGUAGGGUUUGUGAGGGCAGCAAUAAAUUUCCUAGAUAAAACAUUAAA